rnacentral:piRNA from 1 species
AGCAAAGCAUGGCCAGACGAAUUG